rnacentral:rRNA from 1 species
GAUUAGCUUGCUAAUUUGCUGACGAGUGGCGGACGGGUGAGUAAUGCUUGGGAAUCUAGCUUAUGGAGGGGGAUAACUACGGGAAACUGUAGCUAAUACCGCGUAAAAUCUUCGGAUUAAAGGGUGGGACUUUCGGGCCACCUGCCAUAAGAUGAGCCCAAGUGGGAUUAGGUAGUUGGUUAGGUAAAGGCUGACCAAGCCGACGAUCUCUAGCUGGUCUGAGAGGAUGACCAGCCACACUGGAACUGAGACACGGUCCAGACUCCUACGGGAGGCAGCAGUGGGGAAUAUUGCACAAUGGGGGGAACCCUGAUGCAGCCAUGCCGCGUGAAUGAAGAAGGCCUUCGGGUUGUAAAGUUCUUUCGGUGACGAGGAAGGUUGAUAGGUUAAUAGCCUAUCAAAUUGACGUUAAUCACAGAAGAAGCACCGGCUAACUCCGUGCCAGCAGCCGCGGUAAUACGGGGGGUGCGAGCGUUAAUCGGAAUAACUGGGCGUAAAGGGCACGCAGGCGGUGACUUAAGUGAGAUGUGAAAGCCCCCGGGCUUAACCUGGGAAUUGCAUUUCAUACUGGGUCGCUAGAGUACUUUAGGGAGGGGUAGAAUUCCACGUGUAGCGGUGAAAUGCGUAGAGAUGUGGAGGAAUACCGAAGGCGAAGGCAGCCCCUUGGGAAUGUACUGACGCUCAUGUGCGAAAGCGUGGGGAGCAAACAGGAUU